rnacentral:rRNA from 1 species
UACGUAGGUGGCAAGCGUUGUCCGGAUUUACUGGGCGUAAAGGGCGUGCAGGCGGUUUGUUAAGUGCAGGGUGAAAGCUCCCCGGCUCAACUGGGAGAGGUCCUUGCAUACUGGCAAACUCGAGGGAGGCAGAGGAAAGUGGAAUUCCCGGUGUAGUGGUGAUAUGCGUAGAUAUCGGGAGGAACACCUGUGGCGAAGGCGGCUUUCUGGGCCUUA